rnacentral:lncRNA from 1 species
UGCAUAGGACCAACUAAUGGACCCUGGAGCCACAAGAUUCUCCGUCCUGCCUGCAGGGAGAGCAGGGGGUAGAAUUCUGAUUUUAUCCCUUGCAAAAUCACCUCUUCAGAAAGCAAUAUAAAAUAAAGGUAUUAAGAAGAAGCACCAAACUAUCUGAAUGGCUAGAGAAUUAAAUAAUGGAUGAAACCACUUGUCUCCAAGGUGGUGUGGAGGAGCAUACUUGUCCUGGUAAGAAA